rnacentral:rRNA from 1 species
GGGCCUCAAAUAAUGGUGACUACCCC